GCAAAUUAUAGGCAAUAUUUUACAAUUUUAAAGAAACUUAAAUACAAAACUAAGGAUACCACGAGAGGAGUCUCAUUAGAAGCUAGUGGCAAAGCGGCGAAGGGUUUGAGGUCGACGACUCACCAGCAGAAUCUGCAUGUCAGCGAAAAACCCACCGAAAGGCGUGAGAUUUCAGAUCGACUAUAGCCACAACUUCUGAUCAAUCAGCGGAUCCAUUAAGAUGCUCAGUUCGCUGGACGCGCUGGCCGGCAAAAUAGCCACUGCCACGCCCGGAACGGGGGCGGUAACGGCGGACAGCAAGAACACACAGUCGUCGCUGCACCAUCACCACCGCCUCGACUAUGAUUACUCAGCGGUCGAGAUUGAACCACCGGCGGAACAACUGGCCAACUCCCCGCGCAGCGAACGGGAGCGUUUGCAGCAGGCCCAACAGGCCUACGAGCAGCAGGCCCAGGCGGAACUGGAGUUCGGCCUCGCGGAGGUGGACGCCAAGUUGACGCAGCUGAAGAGCAGCCACAGUCUGCAGCACCACCAUAAUCACAAUCACCACCAUCAGCUGCAGCGCCAUCCGCCGCCCCACCACCAGCAGCAGCAACAGCAGCAGCUGCACCACCAUCAGCCCCACCACAAUCACCACCACCAUCAUCCGUACCAGCGACCCAGACCCACAUCGCCACCGCAUCAGCAGCAGCAGCAGCAGCAGACGCCCUCCUAUCAGCAGCAACUUUCCCAGCUGGCCGCUCUGCAGGAUCACCACGAUCUCCUCCAGACGCAGCAGGAGCUGUUCCACAAACAGCUAGCCACCAUGCAAGAGUACCAGCGGGAAAGGGAGCGGGAACGCGAGAGGGAACGGGAGCGGGAACGGGAACGGGAUCGCAGCAGCUUUAUCGAUAACAGCGACUACGAUUCCCAGACGGAGUUCAAAAUUUGCCUGAGGGAUAGUGCUUUUGGUAUGAGUGAUAAGAGCAGCAGUGCAACGAACAGCCUGCCAAAUAGUCCCAUACACAGCAACAACAACAAUCCUUCGCUGCUGAACAACAACAACAAUAACAACAGCAGCACCAGCAACAGCAACAACAGCCUAAACGUCGGCAACAACAACAGCAAUCCGAGCCUGGGCGGCAGCAACAGCAACGCACUGGUUUCCGUGGGCAGUAACGGUAUAAUGUCCGCCGCCGGUUUGGUCAACAACAACAACAAUCCGUGCAGCGCCAACCGCAAUGUGGUCGCCAUGGUCGACGACGACGCCUGCUUCCGGCUGGACACGGAUGCCACGGUGACGUACGGCGAGAAGGAACCGGAUCCGGACAACAUCAAGAUGUUCGUCGGCCAGGUCCCCAAAUCGAUGGACGAGUCGCAGCUGCGCGAGAUGUUCGAGGAGUACGGCGCCGUCCACUCGAUCAAUGUGCUGCGGGACAAGGCCACCGGAAUAAGCAAGGGUUGCUGCUUUGUGACGUUUUAUACGAGACGCGCCGCCCUGAAAGCCCAGGAUGCUUUGCAUAAUGUUAAGACGCUAAAUGGGAUGUACCAUCCCAUUCAAAUGAAACCCGCCGAUAGCGAGAAUCGCAAUGAACGCAAACUGUUUGUGGGUAUGCUAAACAAGAAGCUGAACGAGAACGACGUUCGCAAGCUAUUUGAAGUCCACGGAGCCAUCGAGGAGUGCACCGUUCUUCGGGACCAGAACGGACAGAGCAAGGGUUGUGCCUUCGUCACAUUCGCCACCAAACACGCUGCCAUUUCGGCCAUUAAAGUGACCCUGAGCCAGAACAAGAUCAUGGAGGGCUGCACAUCGCCGCUGGUCGUCAAGUUCGCCGACACGCAAAAGGAGAAGGAGCAGAAGAAGAUCCAGCAGAUUCAGGCCAACCUCUGGAACCUGGCCAGCAACAUCAACAUCCCGCUGGGCCAAACGGCCACCAGCGUGACCACGCCCAUCCUGCCCAAUCCGCCCCAGCAGCCUUCGCCGGUGCUCGGCGCCGAUGCCAUCACCCCGGCCUCCAUCCAACUGCUGCAGCAACUGCAGGCGGUUGGGCUGCAGCAGCAGUUGCUGCAAGCCCUCACAGGACUGGGAGCCCAGCAGAGCAGCUCGGCGACGGACACCAGCGCAGUUGCGGCCGCAGGACUUCUGACCCCGAUGACCGUCCAGAAUCUGGCGGCCAUUGCGGCCAUGACGCAGCCGAGUCUCUCGAAUGCCGCCGCGGCAGCAGCCGCUGCCUCAUCGCCUGGAAGCGCCCAACUGACCAACACGGCUGCGCUGCUCUGGUCCGAUCCGAAUCCCCUGGCAUCGGCUUAUAUGUCAACAGCCGCCGGUCUGCCGCAAUUCGGGAGCGCCAGUGCAUUGUCCACUUCGCCGCUGGCCAGCGUUGCCCUCAGCGCCGCAGCCGCCGCCGCGGCGGGAAAGCAGAUUGAAGGACCCGAGGGCUGCAACCUUUUCAUCUACCAUCUGCCGCAGGAGUUCACCGAUACGGAUCUGGCCUCCACGUUCCUGCCCUUCGGCAAUGUGAUCUCGGCCAAGGUGUUCAUCGACAAGCAGACCAGCCUGUCGAAGUGCUUCGGCUUCGUCUCGUUCGACAACCCGGACUCGGCCCAGGUGGCCAUAAAGGCGAUGAACGGCUUCCAGGUGGGCACCAAGCGCCUCAAGGUGCAGCUGAAGAAGCCCAAGGACUCGAAGCCCUACUAGAGGCCACCAUCGGCAGCGAGGACACAUCCCCGGACACAUCGAGUAGAGAGGAAUACUGAGAUUUGUGAAAUAUGGAGUAGUCAAUGAAUGAAGAGUUGCCCGUGUAGAGCGCGCGUUGCAAGAGUAAACGAUGAUGCGAAUGCCAACGUUAUGGUAUGUUGUUUGCAAAGUUUCGCCACUUAUUUAAUUUUUGGAAAGGCAAUGUCAGGUGGUAGUUGAUGCAAGCCGCCAGUUGAAAGUUGAAUGCGAGUCGUUUUUACAAGACGCGUUGGUCCUUGAAAUAUGUAAAUAAUACCCGCUUGAGUCUCGAGAAUCCUAGAAGAGAUUGCCUAUUCCACUGCUGUCGCAAAAAAAAUUUCCAAGAACUGUAAAUUUAAAUACCACAAAAAUAAUGGAAAAUCUGUAAAAACCAAAAAAACUAAUAUGCAAUCAUGUUGUACGAUAGCCAAGAAAGCCAUUUUAUAAGCUUGUAAAGCAAACUAAUUUUAACAAAGUAAAUUUAUGAGAAUACGGAAUAAUA
rnacentral:misc_RNA from 1 species